rnacentral:rRNA from 1 species
GAUGAACGCUGGCGGCGUGCUUAACACAUGCAAGUCGAACGAACCUUCGGGUUAGUGGCGGACGGGUGAGUAACGCGUGGGAAUCUGCCCUCAGGAGGGGGAUAACGGUUGGAAACGGCCGCUAAUACCCCAUAUGCCGAGAGGUGAAAUGAAUUUCGCCUGAGGAUGAGCUCGCGUCUGAUUAGCUAGUUGGUGUAGGUAAUGGCUCACCAAGGCAUCGAUCAGUAGCUGGUCUGAGAGGAUGAUCAGCCACACUGGGACUGAGACACGGCCCAGACUCCUACGGGAGGCAGCAGUGGGGAAUUUUCCGCAAUGGGCGAAAGCCUGACGGAGCAACGCCGCGUGAGGGAUGAAGGCCUCUGGGCUGUAAACCUCUUUUAUCAAGGAAGAAGAUCUGACGGUACUUGAUGAAUAAGCCACGGCUAAUUCCGUG